GUAAAAUAUUAACGAGGAAAAGAGUGUCCAAAUAUAUUUUUAAUCAAGCAAAUGGCAGGCUUCAUUACAAGCAAACUGAAAAAAAAAAAAAGAAAGGGGAAAAUCCAAACCCUCUGUGUCUCCCCUGUAUUUAUAGGACACAUAAAAGAGCAUAAGACCCAGCACCAACAGAUGCUAGACAAUUCCAAGAUGACUAAAUCGGUUCGAAACCAAAAAAAAAAAAAACUAGAAGAGGAGGAAAUAGCAGAGAACAUACAUGUGUCUCACAAAAUCAAAAUCCACCAAGUCCUAUACAAUGAUAUCUAUAUAUGUAUGAUUGAUGAAAAAAGCAAUUAGGGUAUGAAACCAAUAUCCUUGAAGUAUUCA
rnacentral:misc_RNA from 1 species